rnacentral:rRNA from 1 species
UCGGGUUGUAAAGCACUUUUGUCCGGAAAGAAAACCUCUUGGUUAAUACCUGAGGGGGAUGACGGUACCGGAAGAAUAAGCACCGGCUAACUACGUGCCAGCAGCGCGGUAAUCGUAGGGUACGAGCGUUAAUCGGAAUUACUGGGCGUAAAGCGUGCGCAGGCGGUUCGUUAAGACAGAUGUGAAACCCCCGGGCUUAACCUGGGAACUGCAUUUGUGACUGGCGAGCUAGAGUAUGGCAGAGGGGGGUAGAAUUCCACGUGUAGCAGUGAAAUGCGUAGAGAUGUGGAGGAAUACCGAUGGCGAAGGCAGCCCCCUGGGCCAAUACUGACGCUCAUGCACGAAAGCGUGGGGAGCAAACAGGAUUAGAUACCCUGGUAGUCCACGCCCUAAACGAUGUCAACUAGUUGUUGGGUCUUCAUUGACUUAGUAACGUAGCUAACGCGUGAAGUUGACCGCCUGGGGAGUACGGUCGCAAGAUUAAAACUCAAAGGAAUUGACGGGGACCCGCACAAGCGGUGGAUGAUGUGGAUUAAUUCGAUGCAACGCGAAAAACCUUACCUACCCUUGACAUGGUCGGAACCCUGCUG